CAAACUUUGUGGACCCCCAACUUAUUUUCUUUGUUGGUUUAUGUUGAACUUUAUGCACCUGAGAUAAAUGACAACUAGGCAAACUAGUUAGUCCACGUGGUUUGUGAUGGACGACAAACACCAAAAAACGAUUAUAGGAAAUGAUUAAGCCCAUUUCCCUUUCAGAAGGAAAGGCAUAUUGUGCUUUGGUUAUUGAAUAGAGAAAACAUACAUUUAGUAAAAGGAAGGGAAGGUGAGCUAAAGGUAUUGGAUCACAUAGCUGUUGAAUUUCUUUGGUGAUGGCGAUGGUCCACUCCUGGUCGUCCUUAGGCCCCUAGAGUAUUGCAACCGGCAUCUUGCACUACUCCAUGGUCAUUCUAGGAACCUAGGUUGUAUCAUGGAGGGACAUCCGAACCUUGGUGACGAAAAUGCACAAGGCUCCUAUCUGGUGUGCCAACUGUCGGCAUUGGCGAGUAAAUAUGUGUAUGCGUGCUUUGGGUUCGGAUGGUGUGUUGGUGGGACGUAAGAGUUUAUACUAGUUCGAGCAUAAUGUACAUACUCCAAUCUUCAGUUUCUUGCGCUACUGGCACCUGAUUUUUUGUAGUAGGGGUUACAAACGAGUCAAGAGAUGGAGAAGCUCCCAAGUCUCUAGAGUGUGUUUUGCAUUUCUGUGGAGUGCGUUUCGAUCAGGUCGGAGUGAGUUUGAGAGAGUGCGAGAGUGCAUGGAUUUCAUGGGGGUGUGGUGUUCCAUACGAGCGCACAUCUUAGGCUUUAGUUGGGGCCCACGUCAGAGUUCGUAGCAUAGUAUGAUUGUAAUCGUGCUUCCGGAAUGUGUCAACUUACCGAUGUGAACAUUCAUACGCCCCAUAUCCUCCAGUUUGCCAUGUCGUGCAAUCUAUCUGUAAUAACACUUCCCAUACAUGUAUGAGAGGAGUGGGUUCUUCAUAGUUGAUUUGGAUGUAAUGGACAUGAAGGUUUGACAGAACAAGGAUGACCUCCAUUCCCCUCGUGGCAGCUAUUGUGAUUAUAGAGGUUUGGUAUGGCGUGGUUAGCCUCGUUCGUUUGACCCUUGACUCAUGCAUAUGGUUCAGCCGACAUCUUGGGCUAGGCACGAUACUCGUGACCAUUGAGUCGGCAUAGGGCUCGGCUGACCCUCUUCCGUAUCAUCUGACCCUUAGGCGUCCCUACUUUGUGCUGGGACUAGAGCGAACGUGUAACACUCCAAAAUCAUAUUCUAGAUAAAUUAGGAAAAGUCAUUUCGUGAUUCAAAUAAAUGUGUUUUCAAAUAAAGAUUAUCUAAAAGAUUCUUAUGUGAACUAUCAUUUGUGUUAAAGAUCUAUUCUAAAAAAUAAUUAAGUUAAACUAUCUGUUAAUAUAUAUUUUACAUAAGAAAAUUAUAUCCUUUUAAACAAAUAUGUGAAGAUUAUAUAUUUAUUUUAUUGUACUUCUGAAAUGUAGCUAUGUAUUUGAAUUAUUUUCUUUAAUAAUUAUUAUUGUAAAACAUCUUACAUGAAUUAUUCCUACGGAGUUUCAUUUGCUUAAAUGGAUAAAUAAAUUAAUAAAAUGCUUUGCAUUCAUGUCGAGUUUUUGUUUGUUGUAAUUUAUGCCUGAAAUAGAAAUUUUAACUUAGCUCUAAUUAGACUUGAAUUUUAAAUUUAAAAUAGAAAGCAGAAAUUAGAAAUAUAAGCUAAUAUAAUGUAUCGAUGUAUGUUUGGUUGGUCUGUUUGUACACGAUGUGCUUUAGGUAAAUUUUAUACAAAUUAGGAUAUCACAAUAAGAUAUUUAAGAAAAUACUGCUUUCAGCUCGCGUGUAACACCAAAAAUUUAAUUUAAAAUUUUAAAUAAAAAUAUAUUCUAAGAUUUAUUUAAAUUGGAGGUCUAAUAUGAUUAGUACAAACUAAUAAUAAUAUUAUUGGAAUAAAAUGACAUGUUAGAGUUCCUAACAGAUAGGGUAGGAUUCUAACAGAUAAGUACCAGAUUAGGGGCCUGUUUGUUUACCCCAAUGGAUUAUAUAAUCUGGAUUAUUUUUGGAGGAUUAUAUAAUCUGGAUUAUAUAAUUUGGAUUAUAUAAUCUGAGUAGUCCUGUUUGUUUACCCAGAUUAUCUGGCGUGUUUCUGUUGGGCGGCGUGCUUCUCCGAUCCGAUAGGCGCAAAAACGAUUCGGUAGAUUAUAAUGGCAAUGGUGGGUAAUUUCUAGGAAACUUGAAAGGGUAGUGGGGAAGUGGGAAAAAAAUAAUCUGAAAUAAGCACCUCCUCACUUGCUUAUGGAUUAUCAUAAUCCAAGGGGUUAGAUUAUAUAAUCUGGGCAAAUAAGCUAGACUGUUUGUUUGCCUCUUAGGAUUAUUUAAUCCAGAUUAUAUAAUCUGGGGGGUAAACAAACAGGCCCUAGAUCUAUUAUGUAACCACCGACCUCCUAGCCUAUAUAAAUAUAUCAUAAGACCUCAAGGCAUCAACCAUAGACUCAUCUUUCUAUAGCUUCACAGCAGCUCCACCGCCAUUCAAGCCAUAGCAACCCGCCAUCAGCUAAGCUUGUCAUGACCAGCUUGUAGAAGUUCGAGUUCCUCCCCAACUCUAGUGACAAAUCUAACGAGGAAUUUCUCUCCGUCCAUUCAUCUUCCGGGGCAACCUAGAACAUCGUUGUGACCAACUCGACAAGAGCUUCGUCACUGCGCUUCCUGUUCGUUGAUCGGAUCUCCGGCUCAUCAUAAAAAAUCGAGAUGACCAGCAGCAACGUGGGAUUGAAGGGCAUGAUUGGAAGGUAAGUUAGUGGUAGGUUAGAGGUCUUUCCAAAAAAAUAGGCUUGACGCUUACCACCUAAUAGAUAACCACCACCAUAGGCUCUUUUACAUGCAAGACUGUCAUGCAACAUGAAUUUAACAGUAGGUAGAAUCAUGAUAAAUUUGCAUCAGAUAGAGCAUGUAUUUAUAAACAAACAUUUCACAUCUUUAACAAACCAAUCUAACCAAUCAGAUCCCGUCAUGUCACCUAUUUCUGUACAGCCCCACUAAAUUAUUAAAAAUACGAUAUCUUCUAGGUCAAAUAAUUUGUUUUAAUUUGUUCAAAUUGUGUUAGGUUCAUAUUAAUUUUGCGUAGGAAGUAAUAAAAUUGUUUAAUCAAUUAAUUGUUUAUUUAAUUAAUUCAUUGAUUAAUUAAUUUAUUAUUGAUUAAUUAAUUAAUUGUUCCAUAUGGUUUCGGUUCAUAUUUUAUUAAUUAAUUGUUUAAUUAAUGUCAAAUAACUAGUUAAUCUAAUUUAUAGUUGUAACCUAUGCUUAGUAUAACUAAUUGUUAAAGUGAUUAAUAUCGACUCAAAUAUUUCAAUUUAAUAUCUACUUAGUCUAAAUGCAACAUUUAUUAGAUUUAUUGCGCCUAAAAAUAUUGCUUUACCCAUAACUUAUUCGUUUUAACUCCGAUUUUAAUGGUUCUCGAACCUACGAUCUCGUAGCGACGCGUAGAAUAUUCUUACGUACUUUGUUCUUAUGCUUUGGUGUAAUGUUACAAUAUCAAUUAUUUGUUUGGUUGUAUGUAUUGCAAUGAGUAGAGGCGAGGUGACGAGGAACCGGGAGCCCAACUUUUGGGUCAUCAUCUCAACAACAUGUUAUCGCAAGUAUAAGGUAAGUUGUACCCUAGAUCACUCUUUUUUACCUAAUAAUGUUCCUGUUAAUCACUAUGACAUGCUCAUAUUAAUUUGAUGGGACCUAAUAGGUUACCCUAGUUUUGUUCACCCUACACCUUACAAACAAAUGAACCAUUGGGUAGUCCUGCUAUUGCUCUACCUGGUUUUGGGAUUAAUGAUACUUAUGAUUCAUGACCAUGUUCCAUUAUAAUUUACUAUUGUUGAUUAUUUAUUAUUGUUCAUGGUAAGAUCAUUGUGUUAAUUGGAAUAUGGAGAACCACUCGGGAAAACAGUGCUACCACAAGGGUGGUAUGGGACGUCCUUGGCUGACUAAUUAGGAAAGCUAGUUGUCACACCCGGUUUUAAGGGACAAAGCCGGGUGCAUCUCAUACAUGCGCCAAAGAAGACAAUAUAUAUAAUAACAGAAUGUAUAGAGAUAAAUGUCACAAUGAAAUCAGAGUAUUUAUUAAAUAGCGAAAGUCUUACAAAAUAAAAGGUAAAUAUAAAACGAACUAAGAAUCGUCCUUGGCGCCAUAAAGUCAACUGGGAAACGCCAACUAGAUCAGAUCAAACUCCUCGUUGUGUGGCUCCUCUUGAACCACAUGUUCUUCUCCUAUGGGGGUGUGAGACAGCAAUGGUGAGCUCACACAUGUUCAUCGCUCAACAAGUUGUGGGGAAUAUUGUGCAUGAACUCACCAAAGGUGGGAGUUCAUGUGAAGUGUAAGGCUGAUCAACAAAAUAAAGGUUGAAGCUGAGCAUUGCUUUUAUAAGUUGGUCAAAAUUUUAUUAGUAGUUACUAAGUGUAAGUAAAUAUCAAACCAUAAUAAAUAAUAGAACAAAAUUAAUAACAAAUCCCAUGCAAUGCAUAUGACCAAUUAAAUUUAAGUUACAUAAAUUAAUCAUGUGAGAGUCCUGAGCUUGUCAUGACCGUGAGCUCGGCUAGUAUACCAGUUUUACACUCUGCAGUGGUUGUACCCUUUUCCCACAAGUCGUGUUUCCCAUGUCGCCAGGGUUUGCAAGGCCCUUAGACACUACCGAGGUGAAUGGCUAGAGAUCCGAUACGAGGCCUUUACAAAGUUCCACUAGCUUCUGAAAACCUGCUACAGUUUAUGGGAAGAGCACUUGCAAAAAUCCCUCGUCUGACCGCCAUCGCAGCAAAAUCAACCCGAGAACCUCCUUGCAUGCAACUCCCCUACUGUCCUUGCCCCUUUCGGGUAAGGUAGUCUUUCACUAGCUUUCCUAAUUAGUUAGCCAAGGGGUUCCAUUCCUCCCUUGUGGUGGCACGUGUUUCUCAAGUUAAGCUCCAUGUUCCAAUUAACAAUAAUGAUCUUGACAUGAACAUAAAUAAAAUAACAAAAUAAUUGGAACAUGGAUAUAAUGAAAUAUUAACCCAAAACCAUAUAAAGCAAUAGCAAAACUACCCAAAUGAUUCAGGGGUAAACAAGGUAAAAAGGAUAAACAGACUAGGGUGACCUAUUGGGUUCCAUCAAAUUUAAACCUAUGCAUGAAUAAGUUAUAUUAAAUAACAUUAUUGGGUAAUAAAAGUGGUCAAGGGCACAACUUGUCUAGCACUUGAGAAUUCCAGGUACCAGGGUGAUUCUUUAGAUCCUCGAAACCUCACUGCUAGUCGUAGCAACACAAACAAACAUGGUAUAGAAAAAAUUAACAUCACACCAAAUAUAAGUACAAACAGAAUAAUAAUCUACGCGUUGCUACGAGAUCGUGGGAUCGAGAACUGCUAAGAUCGGAGUCAUGGUCAAGGAGUUAUGAUUCUAUAGAGGAUCUAUGUGAUUAAAAUAUUAAACUAUAUUAUAAAUUGGUUAGUGUAAAUCAUAUUAGUGGUUAUUCUAUAAAUAAUUAUCUCAACUUUAAUCUAAGUUAUAAAUUUACCAUAAAUUAUAUUUUGGUAGAUAAUGAUGAGCACAUUAUCUACCGUCCGAUCAAAUUCCGACGCGCCUGAUUAGAUCGUGAUUCCCCCGAGCUAGCGCGCAAAAACGACCACAGGAUCGAGGAUCAACGGUCCAGAAUCGCUCCCCUAACUAAAACCGCUCUAGCCUUUGGAUCUCCAACCUACGGCCACGAAUCAAAUCUCGCGAAAGGGUAUGUGUUUUCAAUCCUGGUCGUUUGCUCUAUAACCAACGAUGCUGAUAUCAACCGCACCAACCAGCACCUAGAUUAAAUCCCAAUCUCAAAACCCGAUCAAACGGUUGGGCACUCUUCUCCCCAAUCGGACCCGGACGUGACGGCACAAACCAGCUCGCGGCGGUGGCCAUUGCCGGCGAUCCCAUACCCCUCGACUCCAUCCACCCAAGCUCGAACCGACUAGCGCAUCACAAUGUAUUGAUUAAGGCAGAGUCAGGGGCGGCGAAAGUUACCAGAGGAGUAGGUGAGCGCAGCGCUGUCCACGCGGACGCGGCAGAGGAGAAUCCUGGCGAGCAAUUCCGCGCGGACCCCUUACUCGAUGCUGAAGCCCUAGCACUACCCUUACUCGCCCGUACGACAGUGCAACGUGGAGGUCGACGGAAGCGGCGUGAUGAAGUCCCACGGCGGCGGCGGGCCUCCAAAUUCCCUCUCUCCCACAUUCUCC
rnacentral:lncRNA from 1 species